rnacentral:tRNA from 1 species
GCGCCUAUAGCUCAAUUGGAUAGAGCAUCGGACUUCGGAUCCGAGGGUUGAGGGUUCAACUCCCCCUAGGCGCG